rnacentral:rRNA from 1 species
GACGAACGCUGGCGGCGCGCCUAACACAUGCAAGUCGAACGGAGCUGCGAGAAGCUUGCUUUUCUUAGCUUAGUGGCGAACGGGUGAGUAACGCGUGAGUAACCUGCCCUGGAGUGGGGGACAACAGUUGGAAACGACUGCUAAUACCGCAUAAGCCCACGAUCCGGCAUCGGAUUGAGGGAAAAGGAUUUAUUCGCUUCAGGAUGGACUCGCGUCCAAUUAGCUAGUUGGUGAGGUAACGGCCCACCAAGGCGACGAUUGGUAGCCGGACUGAGAGGUUGAACGGCCACAUUGGGACUGAGACACGGCCCAGACUCCUACGGGAGGCAGCAGUGGGGGAUAUUGCACAAUGGGGGAAACCCUGAUGCAGCGACGCCGCGUGGAGGAAGAAGGUUUUCGGAUUGUAAACUACUGUAGUUAGGGGCGAUAAUGACGGUACCUAACAAGAAAGCACCGGCUAACUACGUG